AGGCGUUUCCAAUGUCAUCUGUUUAGCGAUUGAAACUAGAGCUAUUGCGGCUUCGGCUGACGUUGGCGUCAAGACUCCAAGGAGUGUAUUUAAUACUUCCAGAGAGGUUACACGGGUUUCGUACAAUUUAUGCCUAUAGAAAGUAAUCCGCGACCUUGAGAGAAUCCUUAUAAAAGGGGCUUACAUAAAAGGCGUCCCACAUUCUCGCUUGAAAAGAGGCCCUCAACAGAGCCUAUCGUGCUGAAAGACUUGACUCUGAAAGACUCGUUUGGAUUCGCAGCCACUCAGAACGUCUACUUCUUCAGGCAUCGCUAAAAACAAGCCCGGAAACAACUGGAAUAAUUGGUGCAUUAGACAGGCCCUUUAUACUGAAUAUAUCAUAAAAAGUACAGGUUUCGAUAACCAUGGCACUUCGUUAUCUUUGGCUGGCGGUCGCCUGGACGGCUGUACCGUUUGCUGUAGCGAGUAUCUUUUCUGGAUCAGCGUGCGACUUCAGUGGUAUAGAUGUGGAAGCCGCUGUUGCGAGACUGAUCGCCAAGCUGCCGGAUGACGUGGUCAUUGGCUCCGAAGAAUUUUACCCUGUCAUUGCUGGCUUUGAAGUAAGAGCUUUCAAUGCGACUGGAUUCCGUAAGCUUCAACAGUUUGGUCCUGCGAUGCCGCACUGCCUAAAUGGCACCCGCAGGGUGCAAGUAGAGUUCAUCAACACAGGCGACGUCGUUCUGGCAGCGCCCUGGAGACACUGUUCUGGACUACAAGGCACAUUGCGUCUACGUUCCGCGCUAUCUAGUUUCAAGACGCACUUCCACAUUGUACUUGGUGAGAGAGAUAACGACAUCAAGCUCUCUUACCACGGCCCCACGCUUCCGUUGACUACCGACAGCGUCCAGGUCAACGUAGGCAGCGCCUGGCCAAACGCAAACACAGUGGCUGGAAUCCUGGCCAUAGUGUUUCCGGCAGUAAUCCGGGAUUUAUGGAAUGGGGAGUUCUUUUUCCGACUCAGCCUAGCUUUUGAUAAGGCGCUUAAUUAGAUGCGUAAUGACAAAUUCAGGCUGCAUGAUACCAUAAUUGCAUGAACUAUUGUUGGUUACCGGUGACGCGGCGGGAACACGAAAUGGUAUGGAUGAAAAAAAAUUACAUCCAAA